GAUCAGCCUGAGCAACAUAGUGAGCCCUCAUCUCUAUAAAAAGUAUAUAAAAUAAAAUAAUGCUUAUAACAAUAAGAAGGUUACCAAGUGCUAACCAGUGCCUGGCUCCAUAUCAAAGACUUAUUUAAUACUUACAGCUCUGUGAAGUAGAUACUUGUAAUAUCUCUGUUUUACAGAUAAGGAAACAUUCAGAAAAAUUAAAAUAACCUGCCCAAGAUCAAGCUAAGAAGGGAUGUUUCAGAGCUGGUCUGACUGGUUUGUGGGCCUGCACCCUCCACCAUCACGCCAUGGGGACCGGGCUGCAAAAGUCAUGUGUUGCCUGGUGUACCCUCCCUCUCCCUCAGCCAUAAAGGCUUGGGGAAGGGUUUUGUGAGCAUUCCUGACCAUUGGCCCUCAGCUCUCCGUGGCCUGUGCUUUCGUAGAGGUGUUUAUUUGUGGUUGAGGAGCCUGUUCUGUUGGUUUGUGGAAGGAGCAGCCGAGUCCAGGGCUGUCACUGUCACAGCUGAACUGCUUUUCCUCCUGUUUGUCCUGUUGUCUGCCUUCACAAUGAAUCUGUCCUUCCUGUCUCCUCUGCCACUGUUCCUCCUUUCCCUCCCUAAAGGACACCAGGACUGGUCAGACGGUCCCACCCACUUCUGCCUCCCAGCUCCCUGUGUGCAGCCCACACCCCAGCUGUGUCCCGUGACUGUAACCCAACUUCUGGGAAGGUUUCUUGUGCCCUAGGACACAGACAAGCCCCCACCUUCGUGCCUGUGCCUUCAGAGGAUUUGUGACUCAAAGCCUCUAACAGGUUUCAGUUUGUGUAGGAAGAGUAUAAGCUGUUAUCCUAUUAAUAUUGUCUGCAGUAAAACUGAUGUUGCAGUCUGGCCUCUUUUCCCGGUGAUUCAGUCAGAAGCAGUUCAGGGUGUUGGCAAGAGGGCAGCCUCUGGGCAAAGAACACUGUGUUCUGUGCUCCUCAGCCCGUGACCUUAAGCAAGUUAGUACCUUCUCAAAACCCCAAUUUUCUCGUCAGUAAAGUUGGGGAUAAUAAUUAUCUGCAAGGCGAGGCUAAUGUAAACCUUGGGUUUCCCACGGGGUUGUUAUGAAGAUAAACUGCAAUAAACACAUGUGAAAGCAACUUAGGACCCAGGAAGCCCUUCACAUCCAACAGGAACUAGUCAUUACUAGGAUGUCGUGAGACGUGAGGGUGUGGGAAAACCCCGUUAUUUAACAACUGUGCUUUGAAGGCUGGCUGUGUCCCAAGCCCUGCAGAUGACAGGCGAACCGUGGGCUUCAGUCCUGAGGUAGUGACGGGGCAGAGGCUCGAGCAGCCUUGGGCAACAGGGAUCUGCUGUUGCAGAUCUCCUCCGGGAUUCAGGGGUUCCGUGUUCUGGACCCGAGAAGGGAAGGGGCGGUAGGAGAGUGGGCUCCCCUGGACCUGCCUUUGCCGCAGACGCCACUUCAGAGCAGCCCGUCAGCUGCCAGACCUCAGCUUCACUUUCCUCUGGGGUGUUUCCUUCACUCUCUCUGUGCUUCUGUUUACUGGUUACACUUCCUCAUUAGCCUUCCCCAGCCCUCUGCCGUCUGCGCACACCAGGACGUUUGGACAGUUUGACACGACUUCCCUUACCCGCCUUGUUCUUCAGUGUGUCAGAGAGGCAAUCGUGUGGGCAGGGCACGCCUAGGUCUCGGGGGGGGGGGGGGGGCGGGUUCCCUCAGCACGGGGGCCUCUGGGUGUCCGGGGCAGCCCUUCAGCCUGGGCUGUGGGGAGCAGAGAGGAGCAGAGCACGUGGGUCCGUCCUCCUGUCUCCCUUCCCUGAGCUCAGGUGGAAGAGCUCCCCACCCCCCUCGCCCUGUGCCUUCCUCCUCCCUGUGUCCGCCCAGGGGCUUCAGGCAGCUGCUUUGGGAACCCCAGUUGCCUUGUCUAUAAUGUAGUUAUAAUACUUUAGCAUUCCGGAGACAGAAGUUGAUCUUUUGGGUCCUUUUUGGUUUUACGAUCUAGGCUUCUUCAUUAAUAUCUGAGUGAAUAAUUAUGCAUUUACUUUUUCCCAAACUUGGCAGCAACUAAACUUCUGAACUCUUUUUGUUAGAGCACAGUUGCUCUCACGGCUGCCCUGGUCUUUGAAGCUCUACGACUGCGGCAGGACUGACUACUGCACCCGUGAUCGUCCUGCUGGGGCUCCGUCACACGGGCUGACAGCCAGACACUUGUCCAAUAGUAGUCGUAUCUCUCCUUACAGACCCUGGAUUCUGCAGUUGCCGGGGGCAGCAGGCUUGGGUGAAGAACCCAGCUCCUCAGGGACGCUGCUGAGCUGCCCACUGAACCAGCCCUGAAGCCCCACCUGGACCUUGUUUCCUAGGUAACAGACACCUUCCCCUGAGCAAGUCUGGGCGGAGAUAAGUCUUACGCAGCACCAACAUCCUGACGCUGUCACCGAUGCUCUAAACAAAGGUGUCUGUGAGUUUUACACAUUUAAAAAGGGAGCUUGUCAUACUACACUCAGGAUUACCCCUGGGAGCCCCUGUCCGGCUGCGACAUCCUGACCUACCCAGGGAGGAUUUGAGGAAUUUGAAAUCUUUACUAAAUUCAGCAUUAUUGAGAAGUUCUGCACGGAACAUCCUGUAAGGGACGCAUUGUCGCUAUUCCCAGAACGGCGCCAGCCAGAGAAUGGCUGUCCCGGCAACUGUUCAAGGCCUAACUCAACCGUCCUCCCAAGGGGUAACUUGCAGGGGCUGGGGAAGGCAGAGCCUCUGAGGCCACUAAACCUCUGGCUGCUUCACAAAGCCAAGGAGAGGCUGGAGCAGGCACUGUGCCCCGUACUGGACAGGGCCGCCCAUGGGGGUGUCUGGCACGUCACACGUCACAGACCAGCUGCGAACUCUCAAGACAGCCCUUCGAGCCCGCACUGUCUGGUCUGUGAAGGCGUUCAAGGUAUUCUUGUCUGUUUUGUCACUGCUGUUGCCACAGCACACAGAACACUGUCUAGCACACAGUAGGCACUCAGACGUUUGCUGAAUGAAUACACAAUUCAUCUUCCCUCCUGAGUAACACCCUGCUUCCUGCAGGCUGAGUGUCCUCACGUGCAACCCAUUAGGCCAUACUGUGACAGCCUUACCAGGAAGAGUCUGGGGAAGACUUAGGAAGACUCUGCAGUUGGAUUACAGGCAUGCACUUUGUGAUGUGUUGAUUAAAGAAAAGAACACAUCAUAUUUUUAGACUUUAAAAUGAUACUAAAACUGAUAGGGAUACAGUUUUGCCUAAUUAGGCAAGAGAAGAAAUAAACAAAUAAAUAAAUAAAAUUUUAUUGUGUAUAUUUGAUGUUUAUAACAUGUUAUGGGAUACACGGAGAUAGUAAAUGGUUACUAUAGGGCAGCAGAUUAAUGUAUCAUCUCACAUAAAUAUGAGACGAUACGAUCUUAUAUGUAGAAAGCAGACGAUAUAAACUUGUACGUACAAAACCCUAAAGAUACCACAAAGAUACUGUCAGAACUAAUAAGUGAAUUCAGCAAAGUAGCAGGGUACAAAGUGAACUCAUAAAAAUGAGCUGCAUACCACACACUAGCACGGAAAGGAACCACAAACACAAUUCCAUUCGGUAAGCUGACAUUUAUUAAGACAUCAAUACUACCCAAAGUGAUCUACAGAUUCGAUGCAAUCUUUAUCAAAAUCCCAGUGAUGUUUUUUGCAGAAAUAGAAAAACCCAUCCUAAAAUUCAUAUGGAGUAUCAAGGGACCCCAAACAGCCAAAACAUUCUUGAAAAGGAAGAAUGAAGCUGGAGGGCUCACAUUUCCUCAUUUCAGAACUUACUACAAAGCGACAGUCACCAUAACAGUGUGGCACUGGCACAAGGGCAGACAUGUAGACCAACAGAACAGAAGUGAGAGCCCAGAAAUAAGCCCUCACAUAAAUGGUCCAAUGACCUCCGACGAGGAUGCCAACCCUAUUGACCAGGCAAAGGACAGUCUCUUCAGCAAAGGGUGCUGGGAAAACUGGAUGUCCACGUGCAAAAGAAUGAAGUUAGAUUCUUACCUAAAGCCAUCGGCAAAAACUAACUCAAAAUGAAUGAAAGACCUAAAUGUAAGACUUUGGCAGGCCUACCAAAAGGCUCCCCCGUCGAUACCAUCACGCUAGGGAUUAAGCCUCAACAUACGAAUGUUGAGGGAACACAUUCAGACCACGGCAGGUGCUUACCCAGUUAUUGG